GCAGCAUUUUCAGAAAUGAUGAUAAUUUAUUUUUCAUUUUUCUAAUUUUCUUUAACAUUUAUAGUUAUAAAACACCUAGUACUACUUAUUGGGAAGUUAUAUAUAUAAUUUCAGGAUAAUUUAUUAAUGUUCCAUAAACAAAUAUUUUCCUACCACAACUUCUUCUGAUUUUAUAUUCAUACAAUCAUCUUCCUGUUGACCUGUAGAUAUUUUGUUUUUGGGGAUAGGGUUUGUGUUGUUGGGUUACUGAUUCAUUGCCAUGACACUGCAUCUCCUUUAUUGAUAUUUUAUUGCCUAAAUUAGCAGUUGGCUAGUGCAAUGUACUUGUUUAUGUAUGUGAUUGUUCCCCAAAUUUCAAAUAAUAAAAGGUUCUUUUUAUUUGCAUAAUUUAAAAACAUUUAUAGGUAUUUACUUUUAGCGCAUUACAUAAAUGAUUGAAUGGUACAAAUUAAUAUACAAUAUGCAUUUGUUUUUAUAAACCCUAUUUAAUUUAAUACGUCAAUUGUUGAAUAAAAUUAUUUAU
rnacentral:lncRNA from 1 species